GGCGGCACAGCUCAGCAGUGGGGCGCGUGCCUGGCGCGCACGCGGUCCUGGGUUCAAUCCCCAGUGCCUCCG
rnacentral:tRNA from 1 species